rnacentral:rRNA from 1 species
AGUGAACGCUGGCGGUAGGCCUAACACAUGCAAGUCGAACGGCAGCACAGUAAGAGCUUGCUCUUACGGGUGGCGAGUGGCGGACGGGUGAGGAAUACAUCGGAAUCUACUUUUUCGUGGGGGAUAACGUAGGGAAACUUACGCUAAUACCGCAUACGACCUACGGGUGAAAGCAGGGGAUCUUCGGACCUUGCGCGAUUGAAUGAGCCGAUGUCGGAUUAGCUAGUUGGCGGGGUAAAGGCCCACCAAGGCGACGAUCCGUAGCUGGUCUGAGAGGAUGAUCAGCCACACUGGAACUGAGACACGGUCCAGACUCCUGCGGGAGGCAGCAGUGGGGAAUAUUGGACAAUGGACGCAAGCCUGAUCCAGCCAUACCGCGUGGGUGAAGAAGGCCUUCGGGUUGUAAAGCCCUUUUGUUGGGAAAGAAAAGCAGCAGGUUAAUACCCCGCUGUUCUGACGGUACCCAAAGAAUAAGCACCGGCUAACUUCGUG